AGAAGUGGUAUUGACUUGACUGCCCAUUGGAAGCAAACAGUAACAUGAGCAGUAACUCACGUGUGAGGAAGUUGAACAGCUGCUGUGGUGCUGGCUGAAGCUGCUGGCCCCCACAUGCUGCGACUGCCACCUCCAACAUGACAGUGUGGGGAUCAGCUACAGCUGAUGGGCUGAGGCUGUAAACAAACUGUGCCACAGCACCUUCCACCCUCAAGAUGGUUCCUGGUGUCCAUGUGGAUUGCUGCAGCACAGAAACCUUUGCCAUGGCAGAAACUCCACGGAAAGUACAGGCCCUAACUUUACCAGCUACUGUUGCAAAAAUAACUGGAGUGUUCAUAACUGAGAAUUUAAAUGGAAUAUGAGGUGCUAUAAUCCUUCAGCACACUCAGCUUUUCUUGCACACAGUGCAGGAGUGUUUUCUGGAGUAGAGGCAGAACCUCUCUUCUAACACCACCAGGAUCUAUUGUGAUGCUGUGGAUGAAAUUAUCUCAAACAAACUACGGGGGCCCUACUG